GAUGAACGCUGGCGGCGUGCUUAACACAUGCAAGUCGAACGGUGAUGCUCUAACUUGCUGGAGUGGAUCAGGGGCGAACGGGUGAGUAACACGUGAGCAACCUGCCCCAGACUCUGGAAUAAGCGCUGGAAACGGCGCCUAAUACUGGAUACGAAACUGGCCCGCAGGGGCAUGAUUUGGUAAGUUUUUCUGUUUGGGAUGGGCUGGCGGCCUAUCAGCUUGUUGGUGAGGUAGUUGCUCACCAAGGCGACGACGGGUAGCCGGCCUGAGAGGGCGACCGGCCACACUGGGACUGAGACACGGACCAGACUGCUACGGGAGGCAGCAGUGGGGAAUAUUGCACAGUGGGCGAAAGCCUGAUGCAGCGGCGCCGCGUGAGGGAUGACGGCCUUCGGGUUAUAAACCUCUUUCAGCAGAGAAGAAGCGAAAGUGACGGUACCUGCAGAAGAAGCACCGGCUAACUACGUG
rnacentral:rRNA from 1 species